UACGUAGGGAGCAAGCGUUGUCCGGAAUCAUUGGGCGUAAAGCGCGCGUAGGUGGCCACAUAAGUCCGUUGUGAAAGUCAAAGGCUCAACCUUUGAAAGCCGAUGGAUACUGUGUGGCUAGAGUACGGAAGAGGCGAGUGGAAUUCCUGGUGUAGCGGUGGAAUGCGCAGAUAUCAGGAGGAAUACCCAUAGCGAAGGCAGCUCGCUGGGACGUUACUGACGCUGAGGCGCGAAAGCGUGGGGAGCGAACAGG
rnacentral:rRNA from 1 species